GGCUGUGGCUCAGUGGUACAGCACUUGCCUGGCAUGUGUGAGGCACUGGGUUCGAUCCUCAACACCA
rnacentral:tRNA from 1 species